rnacentral:lncRNA from 1 species
UUGUUAACAGUUUACUAAAGGAAUUUGCCUUCCAAGUGUUUGUGAGAUUGAGCUCUUAUGGUAUAAGAAUAUGCUUUGAAAGCAUUUUUGUUCCUUGAUUGAACACUUCUGAUAUUAACUCCAAUUUCAUAUAAGUUGGCCCAAUAUUUUGAUAAAAGUACAUUGAAAUUCAAAAGCAGAAAACAAUUAGUUCCAAUUUGAAUUUGAUGGUCGACAUAAAUGCAUGAGCCCAUUUUAUUCAAAAUGGAAUUUAAAACCAGAUUUAAUUUUUUGACAAUUUAAAUAAACUUUGUUUUCCAUAAAUAUUUUGAUAAAUACUGCAUGUAUUUAAAAUUUUCAAACAAAUAUUG